UUGCAUGUUUUGGCCCUGGGCCUCUCUUGGCCUCUCUCUUUCUAUAGAGUGGACAAGCACAAACAUGCUAGAUUAACAAAUGGGAGUUAACAGGGCCGCCAGUCCUUCAAGGUCAGGCUGAGUUGGUAGUAUAAUACUCCCACAUUU
rnacentral:snoRNA from 1 species